rnacentral:rRNA from 1 species
GACGAACGCUGGCGGCGUGCUUAACACAUGCAAGUCGAACGGAAAGGCCCUGCUUUUGUGGGGUGCUCGAGUGGCGAACGGGUGCGUAACACGUGAGUAACCUGCCCUUGACUUUGGGAUAACUUCAGGAAACUGGGGCUAAUACCGGAUAGGAGCUCCUGCUGCAUGGUGGGGGUUGGAAAGUUUCGGCGGUUGGGGAUGGACUCGCGGCUUAUCAGCUUGUUGGUGGGGUAGUGGCUUACCAAGGCUUUGACGGGUAGCCGGCCUGAGAGGGUGACCGGCCACAUUGGGACUAAGAUACGGCGCAGACUCCUACGGGAGGCAGCAGGGGGGAAUAUUGCACAAUGGGCGGAAGCCUGAUGCAGCAACGCCGCGUGCGGGAUGACGGCCUUCGGGUUGUAAACCGCUGUCGCCUGUGACGAAGCGUGAGUGACGGUAAUGGGUAAAGAAGCACCGGCUAACUACGUG